rnacentral:lncRNA from 1 species
CCAUUUUAUAAACACAGAAACAGAGAUUCAAAAGGGUCAGGUCACUGGCUCCAGGUCAACUCUACUACUAAACAGAAAAGCAAGGACCAAAAUUCAGAUCUUUGUGACCCUCAAUGCCACUAUGCCAUGCGAUGAUGCCUGCCUCUUUUAGAGGCCAACUAAUAGGCCAACUUGAUUUUCUUGAGGAAUGGCCGAAUGGAAGUUGAAUGGUUGAAGGUGACUGGCAAACAGAGAAACAAGGCACCAAGAACUGGCUAUUUCCAAACGUGGGCAAUCAGCUUCUGAAUGAAUAGUUCAGAAUGAUGCAGCUCUGGAUGUUGGAAAGGACAAUUCCGGCGUUUUACUCUUCUGACCAGUUUCUUCGUUUUCAUAACUCUACUUGAAGAACAUAUGAUGUUUGCCAGUGUCUGACAUUACGGACCUCACAGCUUACUGAAUCUGAAAACAGGAGAUAGAGAUGGAAAGGAAAGCCUCAGGAACUUGUUGCAAUAGGGACUGCCAGGUCCCGUUGCACUAUUGGUGGAAGAGAGGUCCACACGGUGCCUACGAUAAGCGAUUUGUUCGUAUCUAUCCAGACUGCAGGUGCAUACAGCCACUCAUCCUCAAAUGCCAUCCUCAGGAGUUUAUGCUGCACACAGACUGGCACAUGUGCAGGAAGACAUAGUGCAGGGCUACGUGCUACAACAUUGUUGGUGACAGCAACAUAUUGGAAGCAACCUGAAUUUUUGUUAAUAGAGGAUUGGCUACAUAAAUGAUGCUAAUCUAUACAACUGGAGUACUAUGAUGCCAUAAAAAAGAAUGUACAAGGUCUUUACGUUUGGAAAGAUCUCUAAGAUAUAAUGACCUGAACCUCAGGAGAUCUGGAGUAUGUGCUGAAUUCUACUGGGAACUGAGCCCUCUGAAUAUUAUUAUUGUUUUGCUAAUACUUUUUGCUGGAAAGUACAUCAAACCAGGAUGUGUUGUACCUCUUGCUUUGCCAGACUAUUUAAAAGCAAAAGUGACCAGAUAUCCAACUUAAGGCUGAUCCAGGUUUUUCAUGAUCUAGCCAGGGGAGACAAACCUUCCAGGAAAGUCUCUAGCGAAGGCCAAGGAUUUUAGAAAGUAUCUGUGAACAAAGAAAUGCAAUGUUAGUGGGCUAAUUUCCAUAAUCAAAUGAAGCUGAUGCAAGUGCUUUGUGAAUUGAUGCCCAUCAACGAGAGACUGGAUAAAGAAAAUGUGGCACAUAUACGCCAUGGAAUACUAUGUAGCCGUAAAAAUGAACAAG